rnacentral:rRNA from 1 species
AGUUGGUGGAGUGAUUUGUCUGGUUAAUUCCGAUAACGAACGAGACCCCCGCCUAUUAACUAGUCUUGCUUUUGUUUACAAAGGUAAAACUUCUUAGAGGGACUGUUGGUAUCUAAAUCAACGGAAGUUGGGGGCAAUAACAGGU